GCCUGGGUGGCUCAGUUGGUUAAGCGUCCGACUUCGGCUCGGGUCAUGAUCUCACGGUUCGUGGAUUCAAGCCCCACGUCGGGCU
rnacentral:tRNA from 1 species